rnacentral:rRNA from 1 species
GCCCUUGGGCUUGACAUCCCACGAACCUGCUGGAAACAGCGGGGUGCCCUUCGGGGAGCCGUGAGACAGGUGCUGCAUGGCUGUCGUCAGCUCGUGUCGUGAGAUGUUGGGUUAAGUCCCGCAACGAGCGCAACCCUUGUCUUUAAUUGCCAUCAUUCAGUUGGGCACUUUAAAGAGACUGCCGGUGUUAAACCGGAGGAAGGUGGGGAUGACGUCAAGUCCUCAUGGCCUUUAUGUCCAGGGCUACACACGUGCUACAAUGGGUGGUACAAAGAGCAGCAAACUCGCGAGAGUAAGCGAAUCUCAAAAAGCCGGUCUAAGUUCAGAUUGGAGUCUGCAACUCGACUCCAUGAAGGAGGAAUCGCUAAUAAUCGCGCAUCAGCACGGCGCGGUGAAUACGUUCCCGGGCCUUGUACACACCGCCCGUCACACCACGAAAGCCAGCUGUACUCGAAGUCGCUGAGAAGGGC